rnacentral:rRNA from 1 species
GGCGAACGCUGGCGGCAGGCUUAACACAUGCAAGUCGAACGGGCACUUCGGUGCUAGUGGCAGACGGGUGAGUAACACGUGGGAACGUACCUUUCGGUUCGGAAUAAUUCAGGGAAACUUGGACUAAUACCGGAUACGCCCUUCGGGGGAAAGAUUUAUCGCCGAUAGAUCGGCCCGCGUCUGAUUAGCUAGUUGGUGAGGUAAUGGCUCACCAAGGCGACGAUCAGUAGCUGGUCUGAGAGGAUGAUCAGCCACAUUGGGACUGAGACACGGCCCGAACUCCUACGGGAGGCAGCAGUGGGGAAUAUUGGACAAUGGGCGCAAGCCUGAUCCAGCCAUGCCGCGUGAGUGAUGAAGGCCUUAGGGUUGUAAAGCUCUUUUGUCCGGGAAGAUAAUGACUGUACCGGAAGAAUAAGCCCCGGCUAACUUCGUGCCAGCAGCCGCAGUAACAC